rnacentral:misc_RNA from 1 species
CUCUUUGCUUGCGCAACAACUUCCACCUGGCUUACCUCCUCAGUUAUGCGUCAAGGGUUGUAUCUCUUUUGAGCGUAUUGUGGGUUUCCUGUGCUGAAUUCCAGUUAGAUGGUAUUGUUUUGGCCGAUUGAUGUCCCUUUUCAUCUUGUGUUGCCUUUGUGAUUCAAGAUGAACCUUGAAGUAGUCUCUAUGUUCCACUAUGUUAAUGCAAAAUGUAUUGAUGUUGUGGCCCAUUGAGCGUUGCUUGGUGUCCUGGAUACGGAACAUUAUGUGGGCAUGGGGUCUUUUAUGGCUCUUGUUUUGUCCUCGUUCAGUGUUCUUUGAAAAGACGGUUCAUGCGCGCCUAGGCUCGUACCUGCGCGAUGAACUUUGUCAAAGAGGAAUGCUACCUGGU